rnacentral:rRNA from 1 species
CCUACGGGGGGCAGCAGUGAGGAAUAUUGGUCAAUGGGCGGAAGCCUGAACCAGCCAAGUAGCGUGCGGGAUGAAGGCCCUACGGGUCGUAAACCGCUUUUGCACGGGGAUAACACCCUCCACUUGUGGAGUUCUGCAGGUACCGUGCGAAUAAGGGCCGGCAAAUUCCGUGCCAGCAGCCGCGGUAAUACGGAAGGCCCGAGCGUUAUCCGGAUUCAUUGGGCUUAAGGGGGGCGUAGGCGGAAAGUUAAGUCAGCGGUCAAAUGUCGGUGCUCAACACCGGCCUGCCGUUGAAACUGGUAUUCUAGAGUGAGCGAGAGGUAUGCGGAAUGCGUGGUGUAGCGGUGAAAUGCAUAGAUAUCACGAAGAACUCCGAUUGCGAAGGCAGCAUACCGGAGCUCAACUGACGCUGAGGCACGAAAGCGUGGGGAUCGAACAGGAUUAGAUACCCUAGUAGUC